CUGGCGGCAGGCCUAACACAUGCAAGUCGAGCGGUAACAGAAAGUAGCUUGCUACUUUGCUGACGAGCGGCGGACGGGUGAGUAAUGCUUGGGAACAUGCCUUGAGGUGGGGGACAACAGUUGGAAACGACUGCUAAUACCGCAUAAUGUCUACGGACCAAAGGGGGCUUCGGCUCUCGCCUUUAGAUUGGCCCAAGUGGGAUUAGCUAGUUGGUGAGGUAAUGGCUCACCAAGGCGACGAUCCCUAGCUGGUUUGAGAGGAUGAUCAGCCACACUGGGACUGAGACACGGCCCAGACUCCUACGGGAGGCAGCAGUGGGGAAUAUUGCACAAUGGGCGCAAGCCUGAUGCAGCCAUGCCGCGUGUGUGAAGAAGGCCUUCGGGUUGUAAAGCACUUUCAGUCAGGAGGAAAGGUUAGUAGUUAAUACCUGCUAGCUGUGACGUUACUGACAGAAGAAGCACCGGCUAACUCCGUGCCAGCAGCCGCGGUAAUACGGAGGGUGCGAGCGUUAAUCGGAAUUACUGGGCGUAAAGCGUACGCAGGCGGUUUGUUAAGCGAGAUGUGAAAGCCCCGGGCUCAACCUGGGAACUGCAUUUCGAACUGGCAAACUAGAGUGUGAUAGAGGGUGGUAGAAUUUCAGGUGUAGCGGUGAAAUGCGUAGAGAUCUGAAGGAAUACCGAUGGCGAAGGCA
rnacentral:rRNA from 1 species